AUACUAUGCUUACUUGUGCGUACUUUAAGAAUAAUUUGCUUGCCAGUUUCACCCUCAUCCUUGCAACCUUAGCAUACGCGACAGACGACUAGGACAAGCGGGAGCCGCCGUUAACGUUGCCUCAAAGAGCUUUUCCAGCCGUGAGACGACGCACAGGACCUCGUUGGAGACCAGGCCUAAGUUCAAAGUGCCCACCGCACACACACGUUGUGUUAAUGGAAAAUCAAUAAUUACGCAUCUUGAAAUUAUUAAUAGGAGCGCACCAUGGCGCACAUGUCCUUACCGCAUGUCCUGCCCGCAGUGAAAGAAACGGAAGCUGACAGCUCAUUAGGCAGCUGUAGGAAAGUAAUUGCAAUUUCUCGUGCGUCGAUUAUAAUUGCCCUAGCUAAAAUGAAACUACCAUACAAAAUAUUCUAA